rnacentral:lncRNA from 8 species
UGGCCUAAAGUCAUUGUCCAUAUUUCGGUUACUAUUCCAUAUAAAUUGAAAUUAGGAAUAUUCUGUUUAUUCAUGAAUAAAGGGAUACUCGUGAGCGGGAUAUCAAAGGUGCAUGUAAACACUUUAUCAAAUACUUUACGCUGUAUGUGAGCUAUGAAUACCUUCCGCACUUAAACGUGGUCACUAUUCUAAUCCAGCACCACCAACACAUCACUCAGUAAAUCAAAAAUUGAGUAAUUGAGUUUUGGGAUUAGGUUAGAAUUGAGUAGGUGCAACUAGUGUGCUGGGCUAGCACAAAAGAAGGCGCACUUCUAGCACAUCCAGCCAGAACCUAGCGCAUGCGCGCAUACAGAAAUACAAUCUACACGCGUGACUCAUGAGUUCGUGAAUUUCCGAUAUUCCCGCACUCAUCAAGCAAAACAAACGUGGCUAACUAUAUAAAUAUUAUUAUUAUUAUUUUUAUUUUUUUACAAAUGACAACUGUACAUAAAUCUAUAUGGAGGCUGAAACGUUUUGGACGUUUUUUGCCUGGGACCAAAGAAGACGACGGUAAUCCGUGGAAGUGAAAGCGCGGGUGAAUUGGUGCUCACCCUUGUGGAAUCCGGUCAUAUGUUGGUGUCCCAAGGUCACGAUCUUCUGGAUGGGUUUUCCUUGCUUGAUGCUCCAAGCUUCCUCAAAGUUCAGCAGAAAUCAGAUACCCUGCUCUUCCGUCUGACUGUUAAGGGGGAGAGCCGUCAGAUCAGGAUGCAGUUCAGUGGCAGCAGGGCUGAGGCCCUGGAGGAGUGUAGCAGUGCAGUACUCAGACUGAAGGUGUACCUGCCUGUCACUACACAGGGGGGCCACCACCACCACUCAGCUGCCCCCCAACAUCCAAUCAGCCCCCUACCAAGACCACUGCACAGGAUCAACAGGCGAGUGCUGGGGAGGCUAUUGCUACUGAACCUGAGGUCGUCCAGGGCUCUUUAUCCAUCAAACGUCUUACCCAGGUAAGUUGGUACUGACACAACACAGUGAUUAGAUAGAUGACUGAUGAAUGCUGAGGAUGAUGAUUCAUGUAAUGAUCACUUGAUGGAGUUUGACAAUCGCGCGAGCUGAAUAAGUAGUAGUUAUUUAACAUUCAGGAGUUACUGCUCUCACCCACUGAGCUUGAAUGUAACAUAGACUUCAUGGGGUUGUAGUUAUUCCCUGCCACUACUGAAGUGUAGAGUAGGCCAAUGAAAUAAUUAACACUUAAUUGACUUGGGAGAUUAUAUACUGCUCAAAAAAAUAAAGAGAACACUUAAACAACACAUCCUAGAUCUGAAUGAAAGAAAUAAUCUUAUUAAAUACAUUUUUCUUUACAUAGUUGAAUGUGCUGACAACAAAAUCACACAAAAAUAAUCAAUGGAAAUCCAAUUUAUCAACCCAUGGAGGUCUGGAUUUGGAGUCGCACUCAAAAUUAAAGUGGAAAGCCAUACUACAGGCUGAUUC